UGACUGUCAGGCCACCUUAAGCCACAGUACGGAAGAAGCUGUGCUGCCUGUGAGCCCCGUCCAAGGACGUUAAAAGAAGAAGUCAGGCCCCAAAGCCACGGUUUGAGCAAACCGUGCUGCCUGUAGCUCCGUCGUGGGGACGUAAAACCUGGGAGGCUGCAAACUGUGGAAGCUGUACGCACAGUGUAGCAGACUAGUGGUUAGAGGAGACCCCUCCCAUGAUACAACGCAGCAGCGGGGCCCGAGCACUGAGGGAAGCUGUACCUCCUUGCAAAGGACUAGAGGUUAGAGGAGACCC
rnacentral:lncRNA from 1 species